rnacentral:rRNA from 1 species
GAUGAGCGCUGGCGGCGUGCCUAAUACAUGCAAGUCGAGCGAACGGACGAGAAGCUUGCUUCUCUGAUGUUAGCGGCGGACGGGUGAGUAACACGUGGAUAACCUACCUAUAAGACUGGGAUAACUUCGGGAAACCGUAGCUAAUACCGGAUAAUAUUUUGAACCGCAUGGUUCAAAAGUGAGAGACGGUCUUGCUGUCACUUAUAGAUGGAUCCGCGCUGCAUUAGCUAGUUGGUAAGGUAACGGCUUACCAAGGCAACGAUGCAUAGCCGACCUGAGAGGGUGAUCGGCCACACUGGAACGGAGACACGGUCCAGACUCCUACGGGAGGCAGCAGUAGGGAAUCUUCCGCAAUGGGCGAAAGCCUGACGGAGCAACGCCGCGUGAGUGAUGAAGGUCUUCGGAUCGUAAAACUCUGUUAUUAGGGAAGAACAUAUGUGUAAGUAACUGUGCACAUCUUGACGGUACCUAAUCAGAAAGCCACGGCUAACUACGU